AUUGAACGCUGGCGGCAGGCCUAACACAUGCAAGUCGAGCGGAUGAAGGGAGCUUGCUCCUGGAUUCAGCGGCGGACGGGUGAGUAAUGCCUAGGAAUCUGCCUGGUAGUAGGGGAUAACGUCCGGAAACGGGCGCUAAUACCGCAUACGUCCUGAGGGAGAAAGUGGGGGAUCUUCGGACCUCACGCUAUCAGAUGAGCCUAGGUCGGAUUAGCUAGUUGGUGGGGUAAAGGCCUACCAAGGCGACGAUCCGUAACUGGUCUGAGAGGAUGAUCAGUCACCCUGGAACUGAGACACGGUCCAGACUCCUACGGGAGGCCGCAGUGGGGAAUAUUGGACGAUGGGCGAAAGCCUGAUCCAGCCAUGCCGCGUGUGUGAAGAAGGUCUUCGGAUUGUAAAGCACUUUAAGUUGGGAGGAAGGGCAGUAAGUUAAUACCUUGCUGUUUUGACGUUACCAACAGAAUAAGCACCGGCUAACUUCGUG
rnacentral:rRNA from 1 species